AGUGAACGCUGGCGGUAGGCCUAACACAUGCAAGUCGAACGGCAGCACAGUAAGAGCUUGCUCUUACGGGUGGCGAGUGGCGGACGGGUGAGUAAUACAUCGGAAUCUACUUUUUCGUGGGGGAUAACGUAGGGAAACUUACGCUAAUACCGCAUACGACCUACGGGUGAAAGCAGGGGAUCUUCGGACCUUGCGCGAUUGAAUGAGCCGAUGUCGGAUUAGCUAGUUGGCGGGGUAAAGGCCCACCAAGGCGACGAUCCGUAGCUGGUCUGAGAGGAUGAUCAGCCACACUGGAAGUGAGACACGGUCAAGACUCCUACGGGAGGCAGCAGUGGGGAAUAUUGGACAAUGGGCGCAAGCCUGAUCCAGCCAUACCGCGUGGGUGAAGAAGGCCUUCGGGUUGUAAAGCCCUUUUGUUGGGAAAGAAAAGCAGCAGGUUAAUACCCCGCUGUUCUGACGGUACCCAAAGAAUAAGCACCGGCUAACUUCGUG
rnacentral:rRNA from 1 species